CUGUAAAAUAAAAAUAGGGAGUCGGACCUGCCCAGUGAAAGUUUUUAACGGCCGCGGUACUCUGACCGUGCAAAGGUAGCAUAAUCAUUUGCCUUAUAAUUGAAGGCUAGUAUGAAUGGUUUGACGAGAAUGUAACUGUCUCUUUAUGAUUAACUAGAAAUUUACAUUUAGGUGAAGAGGCCUAAAUUUAAUUAAAAGACAAGAAGACCCUAUCGAGCUUGAAAAAAGUUAGUGGACUUAUAAAGUAAUAGCUAUACCUAAAAAUAUUAGCCACUAAACAUUUUGGUUGGGGCGACUGAGGAACAGAAAAAGCUUCCUUAAUUGUUAUUAAUAGCUCACUAGCAUUGAUCCAGAAAUUCUGAUUAAUGAAAUUAGUUACCGUAGGGAUAACAGCAUUAUCUUUUUUGAGAGCUCUAAUCGAAAAAAAGGUUUGUGACCUCGAUGUUGGACCAGAAUAUCCCGAAGGUGUAGCAGCCUUCAAAGGUUGGUCUGUUCGACCAUUAAAAUUCUA
rnacentral:rRNA from 1 species